rnacentral:rRNA from 1 species
UACAGAGGUCUCAAGCGUUGUUCGGAUUCAUUGGGCGUAAAGGGUGCGUAGGUGGCGCCGUAAGUCGGGUGUGAAAUUUCGGAGCUUAACUCCGAAACUGCAUUCGAUACUGCGGUGCUUGAGGACUGGAGAGGAGACUGGAAUUCAUGGUGUAGCAGUGAAAUGCGUAGAUAUCGGGAGGAACACCUGUGGCGAAAGCGGCUCACUGGACCACAACUGACGCUGAGGCGCGAAAGCUAGGGGAGCAAACAGG